CAGAGGGGGCAAGCGUUGUUCGGAAUUACUGGGCGUAAAGGGCGCGUAGGCGGCCUGCUAAGUCGGACGUGAAAUCCCCGAGCUCAACUCGGGAACUGCGUCCGAUACUGGUUGGCUUGAAUCCGGGAGAGGGAUGCGGAAUUCCAGGUGUAGCGGUGAAAUGCGUAGAUAUCUGGAGGAACACCGGUGGCGAAGGCGGCAUCCUGGACCGGCAUUGACGCUGAGGCGCGAAAGCCAGGGGAGCAAACGGGAUUAGAUACCCCGGUAGUCCUGGCCCUAAACGAUGAAUGCUUGGUGUGGCGGGUAUCGAUCCCUGCCGUGCCGAAGCUAACGCAUUAAGCAUUCCGCCUGGGGAGUACGGUCGCAAGGCUG
rnacentral:rRNA from 1 species